GCCCCGGUAGCUUAGCAGGUAGAGCGUGCGGCUGUUAACCGCAAGGUCAUCAGUUCGAGUCUGGUCCGGGGCG
rnacentral:tRNA from 1 species